rnacentral:lncRNA from 10 species
UGUGAGCCGAGAUCGCACCACUGCACUCCAGCCUGGGCGAUUCUGUCUCAAACGAACAAACAAACAAAAAGAUUACAUUGCUGGCAUACAUUUCUUUUCUUUUUAGAGAUUGGGUCUCACGAUGUCGCCCUGGGCUGGACUCAAACUUGUGGUCUCAAAGCAGUCUUCCCACCUCAGCCUCCAAGUAGUCGGAACCAGGCCUAGCUUUGCUGGCAACUAAUGAUAGUUUGUACUUCCUAAAUCAUUAGUAAAUUUCAAUUUCUAUUUUUA